rnacentral:rRNA from 1 species
AGUGAACGCUGGCGGUAGGCCUAACACAUGCAAGUCGAACGGCAGCACAGUAAGAGCUUGCUCUUACGGGUGGCGAGUGGCGGACGGGUGAGGAAUACAUCGGAAUCUACUUUUUCGUGGGGGAUAACGUAGGGAAACUUACGCUAAUACCGCAUACGACCUCCGGGUGAAAGCCGGGGAUCUUCGGACCUUGCGCGAUUGAAUGAGCCGAUGUCGGAUUAGCUAGUUGGCGGGGUAAAGGCGCACCAAGGCGACGAUCCGUAGCUGGUCUGAGAGGAUGAGCAGCCACACUGGAACUGAGACACGGUCCAGACUCCUACGGGAGGCAGCAGUGGGGAAUAUUGGACAAUGGGCGCAAGCCUGAUCCAGCCAUACCGCGUGGGUGAAGAAGGCCUUCGGGUUGUAAAGCCCUUUUGUUGGGAAAGAAAAGCAGCAGGUUAAUACCCCGCUGUUCUGACGGUACCCAAAGAAUAAGCACCGGCUAACUUCGUG